rnacentral:rRNA from 1 species
AAGUUCCGACCCGCACGAAAGGCGUAACGAUUUGGGCACUGUCUCAACGAGAGACUCGGUGAAAUCAUAGUACCGGUGAAGAUGCCGGUUACCCGCGACAGGACGGAAAGACCCCGUGGAGCUUUACUGUAGCCUGAUAUUGAAAUUCGGUACAGUUUGUACAGGAUAGGUAGGAGCCUUAGAAGCGUGAGCGCUAGCUUACGUGGAGGCAUUGGUGGGAUACUACCCUAAUUGUAUUGGAUUUCUAACCCGCAGCACUUAUCGUGCUGGGAGACAGUGUCAGGCGGGCAGUUUGACUGGGGCGGUCGCCUCCUAAAGAGUAACGGAGGCGCUCAAAGGUUCCCUCAGAAUGGUUGGAAAUCAUUCAUAGAGUGUAAAGGCAUAAGGGAGCUUGACUGCGAGACCUACAAGUCGAGCAGGGUCGAAAGACGGACUUAGUGAUCCGGUGGUUCCGCAUGGAAGGGCCAUCGCUCAACGGAUAAAAGCUACCCCGGGGAUAACAGGCUUAUCUCCCCCAAGAGUUCACAUCGACGGGGAGGUUUGGCACCUCGAUGUCGGCUCAUCGCAUCCUGGGGCUGUAGUCGGUCCCAAGGGUUGGGCUGUUCGCCCAUUAAAGCGGUACGCGAGCUGGGUUCAGAACGUCGUGAGACAGUUCGGUCCCUAUCCGUCGUGGGCGUAGGAAAUUUGAGAGGAGCUGUCCUUAGUACGAGAGGACCGGGAUGGACAUACCUCUGGUGUACCAGUUGUCGUGCCAACGGCAUAGCUGGGUAGCUAUGUAUGGACGGGAUAAGUGCUGAAAGCA